UACGUAGGGUGCGAGCGUUAAUCGGAAUUACUGGGCGUAAAGCGCACGUAGUCGGCUUUGCAAGUCGGGUGUGAAAUCCCCGGGCUCAACCUGGGAACUGCAUUUGUGACUGCAUGGCUGGAGUGCGGCAGAGGGGGAUGGAAUUCCGCGUGUAGCAGUGAAAUGCGCAGAUAUCAGGAGGAACACCAGCGGCGAAGGCGGCGCUCUGGGCCGGUACUGACACUGAGGAGCGAAAGCGUGGGUAGCAAACAGG
rnacentral:rRNA from 1 species